GCACGCUGCAAGGCCAGGAGACUCCAUGCUCAUGGCCUCUGUGUCAUCUCCCAGUGCUUUAUCGGGAAGCUGGGAGGGCAGGGCAGGGCAGCCGUGUGGCCCAGAUGGGCACACCCUGCACCUGAUGACUCACUGGAAGCCUUGGAGUGUCCUCCUAUCAUCUUGGGUGGUGUAGUGGCGUGGACAGCCCUGCAGCAGGGUGCUGGCAGGGUGGGUCAUAGGAGCCAUCCUUCAGCUUUGCCUGGGGUCUCUGGUUGAGGGCAGCUCCGUCAACAAAAGCCAGGCUGGGACCAGGCCAACUUGGUGUGGGUUGGAGGGCUCAGGCCUUGGCGAUGGCCUCCAGCUCCCUGUUCCCUCUCCUGGGUCUCAGCCCUUCCUUCUCUUGCUCGUCCGCCAUUGCCUUGGCUCUUCCAGAGAACCCCCAUCCCUGACUCCUCUGAGGCCUGGAAAUGCUUCUUGAGACUGACUUAUGUCUCAGAUAGAUGGAGGGAGGGAGGGGUGGAGGGAGAGGUGAGAGGUGCUGGGCAGGGAGGCUAAGGCUCCUGUGUCGCUGGGGCUGGGGCCUCCUGCCCAGUCCUUGCAGGCCCAAGGGUGACCCAUCUCCUUUUUCCAGUCACCAGGAGCUCGGGUGGUCACUCUGAGGUGUGAAUAGAUGCUUUUUCUCCUCUAGUCCAUACUGAAUUCAACUCAAACCAGCAAAGGCCUUUGGGCUGGGGACCCUGUAGUUGCAGAGGUCUGGGGGAUGUGGACCGUGCAGCCAGUGCCCCCCACCUCACUGUCUUGGUGAAGAAAUCAGGGAGUUUGUCCGCAGACCUUGGUGUCCUCCCAGCCCCUGAGGACAGAGGAGAGCAGGGGUUGGGCCUGACACCCUGGAGCGUUUGGGCCCAGGUCAGCACAAACACACUCCCCUGCCCCUACUCUAAGGGGAGAGCCCUAGGACCCCUUAGAGGAGGCUUCACUGCUGAAGUCCCUGAGCAGAAAGGGGUGGGGUAGCUUCUCCUGGUGACAAAGGUCUGGCUGGCCUUGGGCAGUCAACACACCCCUCACUCCAAGAUGCCUCCAGGUAGCUGAGGCUGCCACCCGCACCCAGGCAUGUCAUGUGCUUGUACAGCAGGCUGUGCCUGGGGACCCGGAUGUGCCACAGGAGGGAAGAGGGCACCCCCGGAGAGGUCCCUGCCUCCCUCCUCAAGCCCUCCAUUCUCCCUGCCCCCACUCUAGACACAUGCAGCCCCCUGGGCCGCCCCAGAGUCAGGAAGCACCUGUACCAACAGCUCUGGGCUUGUUGGACCCACAGGCACAGAGCUCCAAGUGGUGCCAGGAGACCCAGGGACCUUCCCUAGUGCCAAAUGCUUGCAGGGACUGGUGCCUGGGGAGCCUCUGGCAGCCAGGCUAUAGGAGCCACCCCAUUAGCCCAAGUCCACUUUCAUUUUGUUCACCUGGGCCAUGUUUUGGACCUUGCACCAGGCUGGGACAUGGCAGAGGACAGGCCCUGGGAGCCAGCAGUCUUGGUGUCCUGCCAUGGACAGCCAGGGCCAGCUAAGCCAUCCUGUCCAACAUGGAAGACAUGGCAGUUCUUUCUCAGCAGCCCCAUCCUGGGUGAGGCCAGCCGUGCCCCUAACUCUGCUCCAGACUAACUCCAGGCUCAGAAGCAGCUAGUAAAGGGGGGCUGUUGGUCACCUCUAAGGCCAUCACCCUGGAGUUAGAAGUCACUGGGCUAGAGGGCUUUCUAUGUCCCCCAGCAGCCUCCCUCAACCACAGUGGCCAGAGCAUCGAUCCAGGCCUUCCCCAUCCAUAGAAUUGGGGCUGGAGGAGGGGGUGCUCAGGCCUUCCUGCCCUUGUCCCCAUCCUGCCUUUCUCUUUUCUUGGAUGCUCCGUCCUGCUUGGUUUCUUGCACUGCUCUCAGUCCUCCCACCCUGGCCUGCUGGGGGGUCCUUGGCCCUCAGGGGUAUUCAGGGAGAAAUUCUCUGCCUAUGCAUGAUGCCUGUCAUUCGUGUCAUAACCGGCGGCUCCACCGUUAAAGGGGCGACUGAGGGUGACAGAUGAGAUUUGGCUCCGUCGUGGGUGUGGAUGUGGGAAUGUUGUGAGUGACCAGACAUAGGUGGCCUUCUGAUCCACGGUGGUCCUGCAUAUGUCCUGAGGGGUGAUGGCCCGGAUUUAGCAGGCCAAGUGGAAACUGAUUUCUACGAAGAGCAUCUUUGCCAAACUCAUGAAAAUUGUGCCUGCCACUCAUUCCUAUGGGCUGGUUUUCUGCCCUGCACCGCUGGCCAUCAUAAGAACCAGGUCUUGGCCUUCCCUCUAAGCACCUAUAGAGGUCCCCAAGGCUCUCUGGUUUGAGGAGGGCAUGGGGUCUGCCCAGCCCCAAGCAGAGAGCACAGCCUGGGCCCCUGGUCAACAGCUUUGGCAUUCUGGGUUCCAUGGGGACCCCAGAGCCCAGGCAGAAGAAGACCACCACACCUGCUGCCAGAACACAGCUCUGUCUCCUAGCCCCUCCCCACAGCCCAGCUCCCACUGGUGGGAACUGGAGGCAUUCCUGCCCUCCAUGGUCUGCACUGGUCUCCCCUGAGCGUUCUCAGGAGAAGAGGCAGCCCUAGGUUCCCACCUGCAAGCGCCAUAACUAAGCGUCUACACACCCCCAACAGGGAAGACCCAGGGAUCGUCCCACCCACGCCCUUCCCUUUGGCCAACAUGAGCCCUGUAGGGGGAAGCUUAGCCCCUGCUCCCACCUAACACUCUACAAUUAGCACCCAGGGGUUGAUUCUGGAAGUUCUUCCUUUUUCUAGCCUGCAUCCUUCCUGGCCACCCUGCUUCUUUUUCUCGGUCUGACCUGGUGCACUCUUGGCAAGUAAGUCCACUGCAGUCCCAGGUGAACACCAUUUCCUCCAGCUCAGCUAGUGGCCUGCCCACCCCCUUUUCAAGAAGUCUGGGGCACAGAGUCUCCUCUGGCCACCUCUUUUCUUGUCUGAGCCUCUGGACACCUUCAGGCACAGCCUAGCAGCUCUCAGGAACCAAUACCUGAGGCUCUGGAUCCAGAUCCACGGCCACCAGAGUUCAGUGAGCGGUGCCCAAGGCAAUCACCCCCAGGCAGUUCCCGCUGUCAGGCCGCCAGCCUAGAGUGUGGGAUCCCAGCAGCCCAGGGGACAGGGCCAGGGCAUGAGCUGCUGCCGUGGAGUCUCCCACCCCUCAGCAAGCAGAGUCCUGACCCCACCCUGCCCAGAGAGGAGCUGGGGCCUCCAGACAGACCCCACUCCAGUCAGACUAAGGCCCCUGUCAAAGAAGGGCAGGCUGGGGGGAAAGCAGAAAGAAUGGCCCCCAAUCCAAACUCCUGGAUCCCCUCCAUGAGAGAGGGGCUCCCCCUGGAAGAGAAGCUCUCAUCCCCAGGCCCAGUGCACCAAGACCACCAGCAGAGACU